UAGCAAGUUUUCAGUAAGCCUUCAAUUAGUGGUAGAAUUGCCUUCUUUUCUACUGACAUUUUAAGUUUACAAAGCAUAACUUAGGAAAACAAGUGUUUGGCUUUAGUUAUUUAUUAACUGACUCAUCACCAUAUUUAACAAAAAAGCACCAAUGAUUUCUGCUGUGAUACACCAUUCACCAAAGAGAGAAAAGACAGAAUCUCUGGCCAUGGAAAGGACAUGACAGAAACGCUUUCAUGAUAUUUAUAACCCACCUACUUGCAAGACCAUUUGAGAAGCUCCAUAUGGACUCCAGUUUCCCACUAGCCCACGGGAUUGAAGUUUCUUAGCUGACUUAAAUUAAGAAUUUGGGGAAACUGGCAUGUGUUGCUGUCGGAGGCCUACAGCAGAAUCAACGACUAGGAGCAAUACAUUUCACCCAGCUGUGUGUUGGUGUCCACCUGUAUGCAAGUGAGGAUAGCUGCCAAGCACCUUGAUAACCAUAACAACUCUUCACUCUAAAAAGUGUUGUUUAGAGAAACCUGAAGGGAAAACAAAAUGACAUGAAUGUAAAAUUUUUCACAAGAUUAAAUAAAUAAAGAACAUUACAGUA